rnacentral:lncRNA from 1 species
GGCGGGGCCGCUGGGGUCAGGGGUUAGCGCCUCCCCCGUUGCUGUGGCGACCAGAGGCGCGCUCGGCGGGAUGCUGCCCCGCUGGGUUCUAGGUUCAAGAGACGUAUCUCUGUUGCCUUCAUUUCUAUUCAUGUCUUCCCAAGGAAAUUAUGGUAUGAAUCAUUUCCUUGGAAACCCAUAUCCAAAGCAGAAGAACUACAAUUCAGACCUAUGCUGGCUUAUAUCUAGAGUCCCCAUGAAGACAACACAUUCUGCUACUUUGGAGAACUGUUUUUUCCACAAAAUUUCUUCCCAUCACUCAUAAACCACCACGGAAGGG